UAGAUAUCACAUAGAACACCGAUCGCGAAGGCAGGUGACCAACUAUAUACUGACGCUGAUGGACGAAAGCGUGGGUAGCGAACGGGAUUAGAUACCCCGGUAGUCCACGCCGUAAACGAUGGAUACUAGCUGUCGGGACUUCGGUCUCGGCGGCCAAGCGAAAGUGAUAAGUAUCCCACCUGGGGAGUACGUUCGCAAGAAUGAAACUCAAAGGAAUUGACGGGGGCCCGCACAAGCGGUGGAGCAUGUGGUUUAAUUCGAUGAUACGCGAGGAACCUUACCAGGGCUUAAAUGCGGGCUGCAUGGGACAGAGACGUCCCUUUCUUCGGACCGCCCGCAAGGUGCUGCAUGGUUGUCGUCAGCUCGUGCCGUGAGGUGUCAGGUUAAGUCCUAUAACGAGCGCAACCCCUACCGUUAGUUGCCAGCAAGUAAAGUUGGGGACUCUAACGGGACUGCCGGUGCAAACCGUGAGGAAGGUGGGGACGACGUCAAAUCAUCACGGCCCUUACGUCCUGGGCCACACACGUGCUACAAUGGCCGGUACAGAGGGAAGCCACCCCGCAAGGGGGCGCGGAUCUACAAAGCCGGUCACAGUUCGGAUCGGGGUCUGCAACUCGACCCCGUGAAGCUGGAAUCGCUAGUAAUCGGAUAUCAGCCAUGAUCCGGUGAAUACGUUCCCGGGCCUUGUACACACCGCCCA
rnacentral:rRNA from 1 species